rnacentral:rRNA from 1 species
AUUGAACGCUGGCGGCAGGCCUAACACAUGCAAGUCGGACGGUAGCACAGAGAGCUUGCUCUCGGGUGACGAGUGGCGGACGGGUGAGUAAUGUCUGGGAAACUGCCCGAUGGAGGGGGAUAACUACUGGAAACGGUAGCUAAUACCGCAUAACGUCGCAAGACCAAAGUGGGGGACCUUCGGGCCUCACACCAUCGGAUGUGCCCAGAUGGGAUUAGCUAGUAGGUGGGGUAAUGGCUCACCUAGGCGACGAUCCCUAGCUGGUCUGAGAGGAUGACCAGCCACACUGGAACUGAGACACGGUCCAGACUCCUACGGGAGGCAGCAGUGGGGAAUACUGCACAAUGGGCGCAAGCCUGAUGCAGCCAUGCCGCGUGUAUGAAGAAGGCCUUCGGGUUGUAAAGUACUUUCAGCGGGGAGGAAGGCGGUGGAGUUAAUAACUUCACCGAUUGACGUUACCCGCAGAAGAAGCACCGGCUAACUCCGUGCCAGCAGCCGCAGUAA